UACGUAGGAGACGAGCGUUGUCCGGAAUUACUGGGCGUAAAGCGCACGUAGGCGGCUUUGUAAGUUAGAGGUGAAAGCCCGGAGCUCAACUCCGGAACUGCCUUUAAGACUGCAUCGCUUGAAUCAUGGAGAGGUCAGUGGAAUUCCGAGUGUAGAGGUGAAAUUCGUAGAUAUUCGGAAGAACACCAGUGGCGAAGGCGACUGACUGGACAUGUAUUGACGCUGAGGUGCGAAAGCGUGGGGAGCAAACAGG
rnacentral:rRNA from 1 species